rnacentral:rRNA from 1 species
UAUGCUGCCAAGAAAAGCCGCUAGCUAGUACGUGUGGUGCCCGUACCCCAAACCAACACAGGUGGAUAGGUAGAGAAUACCAAGGCGAUUGAGAUAACUCUGGUUAAGGAACUCGGCAAAAUACAUCCGUAACUUCGGGAGAAGGAUGACCCCAUUAGGGUGACGGGACUUGCUCCCUGAGCUCGAAGGGGUGGCACAAACCAGUGGGAAGCGACUGUUUACUAAAAACACAGCAGCGUGCGAAGCCGUAAGGCGCUGUAUACGCUGUGACUCCUGCCCGGUGCUGGAAGGUUACGGGGAAGGGUUAGCCCUUGAGGCGAAGCUCUGAACCUAAGCCCCAGUAAACGGCGGCCGUAACUAUAACGGUCCUAAGGUAGCGAAAUUCCUUGUCGGGUAAGUUCCGACCUGCACGAAUGGAGUAACGACUCCCCAACUGUCUCAACCAGAGACUCAGCGAAAUUGAAGUACGAGUAAAGAUGCUCGUUAGCUGCAGAAGGACGGAAAGACCCCGUGGACCUUUACUAUAGUUUGGUAUUGGUUCUUGGUCUGAGUUGUGUAGGAUAGGUGGGAGACUAGGAAGCAUUGGCGCCAGCUAGUGUGGAGUCGUCCUUGAAAUACCACCCUUCUCAUGCUGGGAAUCUAACCUCGGCCCGUUAUCCGGGUCAGGGACAGUGCCAGAUGGGUAGUUUGACUGGGGCGGUCGCCUCCUAAAUGGUAACGGAGGCGCUCAAAGGUUCCCUCAGACUGGUCGGCCAUCAGUCGUUGAGUGCAAUCGCACAAGGGAGCUUGACUGCGAGACCGACAAGUCGAGCAGGUACGAAAGUAGGAGAUAGUGAUCCGGCGGUAGCGUGUGGAAGCGCCGUCGCUCAACGGAUAAAAGGUACCCCGGGGAUAACAGGCUAAUCUUCCCCAAGAGUCCAUAUCGACGGGAAGGUUUGGCACCUCGAUGUCGGCUCAUCGCAUCCUGGGGCUGAAG